AGGGGACGGGACCUCAGUGGCACUGCUCUUUUAAAAUUUUAAAUCUUUUCCCCAAAAUAUCAAAUACAAAACCGCCCAAUCUGGCAACCCUGUGGAGACUAUCCUGUAUCUUGCAUCUUCUGUUUUCCUCUGGUUUCUAAAGUAAAUGUGGUUUAGAAUAGUCGUACAGUGUAUGACUAGCAGGACAGGAUGUCUGGUAAAGGUAAAGAUGACCUGAUAAAAUGUAGAUCUGUUAGAGGAGGGACCCUUUUUUUCUCAUUUGAGACAGGUUCUCCAGUUGUACUCGAGUCUUGCCCGUUUUCCCUGACUUCCCUGGAGCUAUGAGCAGCUUAAUGGAGGUGGACUCCCAGCUGUGAAUUUAUCACGGAACUCCAGCAUCCUGCUUCGCUGGCCAGUAAGAACCACAGCAGCUGCUGCCUCCCGCCCUCAGAUGGAAGAGCAGAAGAAGAAAACUUGUCUCUUUUCCAUCUUCACUUUCUAACAGAGGACGAGUGUCCAGUCUGGAACUGGUAUGGAGCAGUAGCGUAAUGGAGUACCACCAAGCUGCUUCACUAGUCAGCAGAAGGAUGAUACGUCUGGAUGUGCCUGGAGGAGCCUCUGGGUUUUGGUUCCAUGCUCCCUGUCUGCUUUGGCUCUGGGUUCUGGGAUCUCCAGCCACCGCAUAUUUCAUGCAGGACUCGAAGGCUGUCCUGAAUGGUUGCGGUGACUUCUGGACCCUGCAGGACCAUUGGAGCAUCCCGGUGCUGUUCCAAAUGACCGUUUGUGUGGACGUGAAUGUGGUGGCCGAGGGGGAAUGGACGGCGUUCACCUAUAACUCUCCACACACCCCACGGCAUGACCUGGCCUUGCAAGGGGACCCCGAGUUCCUCUACGUCUGGCUCCUGGGGGUCAAGCACCGCUUCCCAGUGCGCCUGUCCCCCCAGCGCUGGCAUCAGAUCUGCCUGCAGCGGGACUCCCGGCACGACCGCUUCCGUCUGGAAGUGGGCGGGGACCCCGGCACGUACGAGCGCAUGGUCGUCGCACACGCCAUUCCCCCGUCGGGCCAGCUGCUGCUCGGCUGUCGGCCGCAGGACGCCACACCGGGAUCCAGUCAGGGGAGGGUGGAGCUCUACCUCUUCCGCAUGUGGGCCGACGUGCAGGACCACCACUCCUGUGAAGAUGGCACAGUGGUGGGCUGGGACUCGCGCCUCUGGGGAAUCACGGUCCCACGUGCGAGGGCCCACGAUGAAGCUCUGCACUGCGCACAGACCACAGGGGGCAGAGUUGCCAUGGCGGUGCCAGAAGUGGCAAGCUCAGCCACGCCCCCCUUUCAGACUGGCCCGACCCCUAAAGAACCACCAGCCACACCCAUCGAGGCCACUGCAGCCACUCUGACCACCCCUUUCACACCAACUGGACCAUCUUCAUCCAAGCAGAGUACAUAUGCUGUGUUUUUGAACAUCACAAAUCCCAACACAACUAUCACAGAUAUUCAGAACAUGGUAUGUAUUUUCUGUGUGCGUGUGUAUAUGAAUUAUUGUUUUCCAUUUACCUUUUCUCUUUCUGAUUUCCAGAUCUGCAAUAUGAGUUCGUACUGUGAUGUUCAGUAUGUAACACACACACACACACACACACACACAGCUCAAAAACACUACACCACCAGUCACAUUCCACUCAUGUGUGUUCCUACAGAAACGCGUGUACAAGCAACACAAGUCAAGCAUGGAAUAACUUUCAGG
rnacentral:lncRNA from 1 species